UGAUCUCGUUAGAUCACCGAAGUUAAGCAUCAUUGGGCGCGGUCAGUACUUGGGUGGGUGACCACCUGGGAACACUGCGUGCCGUU